GGAUUCGGAUUCGAUCUCCUCCACCGUCUACGAGCUCCUCCCCAAGUACGGCCUCCCGAGCGGUCUCCUACCCGACUCCGUCACCAACUUCACCCUCUCCGACGACGGCAGAUUCGUCGUCUACCUAUCCAAGCCCUGCACCAUUGAGUUCGACUACCUCGUCUACUACGCGAAGACCAUAUCCGGACGAACCUAUCCAAGCCCUGCACCAUUGAGUUCGACUACCUCGUCUACUACGAGAAGACCAUAUCCGGACGAAUCGGUUACGGCUCCAUCACCGAGCUCGAGGGUAUUCAGGUGAAGCGGUUCUUUCUUUGGUUCGACGUCGAUGAGAUCAAGGUCGAUCUGCCUCCCAACGAUUCGAUCUACUUC
rnacentral:lncRNA from 1 species